rnacentral:rRNA from 1 species
GAUGAACGCUGGCGGCGUGCCUAAUACAUGCAAGUCGAGCGAACGGACGAGAAGCUUGCUUCUCUGAUGUUAGCGGCGGACGGGUGAGUAACACGUGGAUAACCUACCUAUAAGACUGGGAUAACUUCGGGAAACCGGAGCUAAUACCGGAUAAUAUUUUGAACCACAUGGUUCAAAAGUGAAAGACGGUCUUGCUGUCACUUAUAGAUGGAUCCGCGCUGCAUUAGCUAGUUGGUAAGGUAACGGCUUACCAAGGCAACGAUGCAUAGCCGACCUGAGAGGGUGAUCGGCCACACUGGAACUGAGACACGGUCCAGACUCCUACGGGAGGCAGCAGUAGGGAAUCUUCCGCAAUGGGCGAAAGCCUGACGGAGCAACGCCGCGUGAGUGAUGAAGGUCUUCGGAUCGUAAAACUCUGUUAUUAGGGAAGAACAUAUGUGUAAUUAACUGUGCACAUCUUGACGGUACCUAAUCAGAAAGCCACGGCUAACUACGUG